AUCAUGCCCCUUAUGACCUGGGCUACACACGUGCUACAAAUGGGCGGUACAAAGGGUCGCGAACCCGCGAGGGGGAGCCAAUCCCAAAAAAGCCGCUCUCAGUUCGGAUUGCAGGCUGCAACUCGCCUGCAUGAAGCCGGAAUCGCUAGUAAUCGCGGAUCAGCAUGCCGCGGUCGAAUACGUUCCCGGGCCUU
rnacentral:rRNA from 1 species